rnacentral:pre_miRNA from 1 species
GCGGCGGCGCGGCUCCGUUGGCCGGAGGAGCGUGCAGCGGACUCGCACCGCGCGCUGCUCCGUCGAACGGCGCCGACCACGUUGC